rnacentral:lncRNA from 1 species
AAGAUGAUUUGACUCAAUUAAGAAACUGAAGUCCAAAUUGACACAGAAAACUGAAAAGGAGAACAGGCAACAGAUGAAAUAUGAAGAGAAAGAUUUUUAACACAGACAAUUGAAACAAGGACAGCAGUGAACUUAGGAACAGAGAACAGAGUGAGCAGGAAUAAAAAGAGUCUUUUGCAGAAAGUCCGUUUGGACAGAAGCAUCUACAUAUCAGCCUGCUGGUACAUCAGGGCUGGGCAGAUCCCUGAGGAA